rnacentral:lncRNA from 1 species
GUAUCCUUGGUGUUCCUUCCUUUCUGCUCCCUAUUAUGACCUUGGUCCCCUGUGGAGUCAGAUUUGCCUGAGUUGAUGUACCUUUUUCAGGUCUUUCUCAGAUGUUUGGAUUGAUUGAUAUCUCUCACCCUUAUACCGGUCUUAGAUAUUCAUUCUUCCUGAGUUUGUUGCCCUUAUACCGGUAACAUCUCAUCCUUGGCUUCCCCUGGAAAGUCUUGUCUAGAUUUCCCCAGCGGAAGUGUAUUGCUAUUCGUGUUGUUGUAUUGGUGUUAUCCCCAGU